rnacentral:rRNA from 1 species
ACAGCAGUCGCCACGGUAAUACGAAGGGGGCUAGCGUUGUUCGGAAUCACUGGGCGUAAAGGGUGCGUAGGCGGGAUCUUAAGUCAGGGGUGAAAUCCCGAGGCUCAACCUCGGAACUGCCUUUGAUACUGGGGUCCUUGAGUCCGGAAGAGGUGAGUGGAACUGCGAGUGUAGAGGUGAAAUUCGUAGAUAUUCGCAAGAACACCGGUGGCUAAGGCGGCUCACUGGUCCGGAACUGACGCUGAGGCACGACAGCGUGGGGAGCAAACAGGAUUAGAUACCCCGGUAGUCCCUGUCUCUUAUAC